ACGAAUGGAUUGACUGUUCCAAAUACAAAAUAUGGAGAUAAAUUUAUUUUUAAUUUUACUUCAUCUAAGGACAGGUUUUAUCUGGUUUUAAUGAGUAAAAGUGGUGCUGCUGCUCUCAGCUUUAAUAUCCUAUACAAAUAUGGAGGGUAUAACAACGCAGUCAGUAUAUUCUACAAUCAAACAAAUGACUGGAAAAACAAAAUGUACACUGAAGACUUUCCUUUCGGAAAAAAGAAUGAAGAUACUAUGGUAUGGACCGUCUUACCAACGGAUGUCAAGAUAAGAGUGAAUGAAGAAAGAGACUAUUUGAUAGAAAGCUAUGAAAAAUUGUACGAUAAAUUGGUGUGGAGCGGCACUGGCAAAUUAAUUUCUAUUUUUAUGACUUAGAUUGUAAAAAUAUGAAUGCACAAACUAAAUUAAAUGACACUAUGAUUUUACUCUAUGUUACUAACAAAAAUCAAAUAUACACUAUUGAUGAAUAUUUAAAACUAAAGCAUUUAAAUAAAGUAUUGAAUUGAAAAAAAAAAUUCGACAGAAAUUUUAAAAUCUUGCAUUUAUAGUUAUAUAUUGCAGAUUUGGAAUUGUUUAUGUUCAUUUAUAUAACCAUUAUGUUUAUUUUUCUUAGCUCUAUGUUUCGUUUAUCUUACUCUUUACGUCGAUGGUAGUAGCUCUAUGACUUUGGCGAUGUUGGUUUUUUAAGUUUUUUUUUUAAAUUCAUUAAAUACAAAUAUGCACAUACGAUUUGUACAACCUAUCGUUAUCUCUUUA